GGUUUUAUGGUGUAACGGUUAGCACUCCAGUCCUGGAAUCUGGCGAUCUGGGUUCUAAUCCCGGUAAAACCU
rnacentral:tRNA from 1 species